UACGAAGGGGGCUAGCGUUGCUCGGAAUUACUGGGCGUAAAGCGCACGUAGGCGGAUUGUUAAGUCGGGGGUGAAAUCCUGGAGCUCAACUCCAGAACUGCCUUCGAUACUGGCGAUCUCGAGUUCGGGAGAGGUGAGUGGAACUGCGAGUGUAGAGGUGAAAUUCGUAGAUAUCAAGCGGAACACCGGUGGCGAAGGCGGCCUUCUGGACG
rnacentral:rRNA from 1 species